rnacentral:rRNA from 1 species
GACAGAGGGUGCAAACGUUGUUCGGAAUUACUGGGCGUAAAGCACGUGUGGGCGGCUGCGCAAGUCGGAUGUGAAAUCCCGUGGCUCAACCACGGAAGUGCACCCGAAACUGCGUAGCUGGAGUCUCGGAGAGGAAGGUGGAAUGCUUGGUGUAGAGGUGAAAUUCGUAGAUAUCAAGCGGAACACCGGUGGCGAAGGCGGCCUUCUGGACGAUGACUGACGCUGAGACGCGAAAGCGUGGGGAGCAAACAGG